GCGGGCGUAGCUCAGUUGGUAGAGCGUCACGUUCCCAACGUGAAUGUCGAGGGUUCGAAUCCCUUCGCCCGCU
rnacentral:tRNA from 1 species